CGAACGGGAUUCAGUAGCUUGCUACUGAUGAGAGUGGCGCACGGGUGAGUAACGCGUAUGCAACCUACCUUUGACAGGGGGAUAGCCCGGAGAAAUCCGGAUUAAUAUCCCAUGGUAUUUAUAACUCGCAUGAGUUUUAAAUUAAAGAUUUAUCGGUCAAAGAUGGGCAUGCGUGACAUUAGUUUGUUGGUGAGGUAACGGCUCACCAAGACUACGAUGUCUAGGGGUUCUGAGAGGAUGAUCCCCCACACUGGUACUGAGACACGGACCAGACUCCUACGGGAGGCAGCAGUGAGGAAUAUUGGUCAAUGGGCGCAAGCCUGAACCAGCCAUCCCGCGUGAAGGAAGACGGCCCUAUGGGUUGUAAACUUCUUUUCUGCACCAAGAAUGGGCACUACGUGUAGUGUUUUGACGGUAGUGCAGGAAUAAGCAUCGGCUAACUCCGUGCCAGCAGCCGCGGUAAUACGGAGGAUGCAAGCGUUAUCCGGAUUCAUUGGGUUUAAAGGGUACGUAGGUGGCCCAGUAAGUCAGUGGUGAAAUCCUGCCGCUUAACGGUAGAACUGCCAUUGAAACUGCUGGGCUUGAGUACAGUUGAGGUAGGCGGAAUGUGUAGUGUAGCGGUGAAAUGCUUAGAUAUUACACAGAACCCCGAUUGCGAAGGCAGCUUACUAAACUGUAACUGACACUGAGGUACGAAAGCGUGGGGAGCGAAC
rnacentral:rRNA from 1 species